UACGUAGGGGGGCAAGCGUUGUCCGGAUUUAUUGGGCGUAAAGAGCGUGUAGGCGGUUUGGUAGGUCCGCUGUGAAAACUCGAGCUCAACCUCGAGACGCCGGUGGAAACCAUCAGACUAGAGUCCGGAAGAGGAGAGUGGAAUUCCUGAUGUAGCGGUGAAAUGCGCAGAUAUCAGGAAGAACACCCGUGGCUAAGGCGGCUCUCUAGUACGGUACUGACGCUGAGACGCGAAAGCGUGGGGAGCAAACAGG
rnacentral:rRNA from 1 species